AUGCCUGACUUUGAUCGAAGCAGCUUCUAUACUACUUGGGUGUAUCCUGUCAGCCAGGUGCAGGGUGUCCAGUGUGAGGUGCAGCUGGUGGAGUCUGGGGGAGGCUUGGUCCAGCCUGGGGGGUCCCUGACACUCUCCUGUGCAGCCUCCGGAUUCACCUUCAGCAGCUACGUGAUGUACUGGUUCCGCCAGGCUCCAGGGAAGGGGCUGGAAUGGGUCUCGAGAAUUAGUAGUAGUGGUGGUAGCACAAGCUACGCAGACGCCCUGAAGGGCCGGUUCACCAUCUCCAGAGACAACAGCAAGAACACGCUGUCUCUGCAAAUGAACAGUCUGCGAGCCGAGGACACGGCCGUGUACUACUGUGCGAAAGACACAGUGAGGGGACAUCAGUCUGAGCCCAGAUACAAACCUGCUGUGGGGGCUCGUGGCCGCCAGGUGGCGCGCGUUGCACAAGGAGCAGAGUCAGCCCAGGGCAGUCUCUGA